GAUCUGGCUGGGCCACUUCUCUCACUCUUCUCUCACUCAGCAUGCCGCGUCCCCCUUGUUUUGAGGGCUGAGUUAGCGUUAGCCUGGAUGCUAGCCGCCUGUCUCCUUCAGCUGUUGCUGAGUAUUCUCUUACGCCUUUUCACUUUCCUUUGGACUGAACAUCUCUUCAUAAGAUAUAUUUCAACCGUUUGUGUUUGGGGCGCAUUUCAUGUAUCCGCCACUGUGUUGACAGGCCGUUCCGAUCCAAGCGCGGUUCCGUGACUCUCCAACCGUGUAGUCACGUGAGCGGACGUUUCACUGGGUCUGCUCGCUCGAGCGUCGGUGGACGCGUGCGCGUGUGAGCCUCAUCAAUAAUGCAUGAGGGAGGCGGCGCGAGGGAGGGGGGCGGCGCCAGACGGAGGCAGAGAAUGUGUGUCAGCACCGAGCUCAGACGGACAGAGGAGCAGGCGCGGGAGGGAGCAACACGCUGAGGCCGAGGCUCCUUGUUUGUCGCUUUGGCGUCUCCGUGCCCUUCUGGAUGCUCAAGGACCGAUGGAGGCAGGAGCGCGCGGUCGCCAGACCCCGGACAGGUCUGCUGAGUGGUGACACAGCCUCCAGCUGGGACACGUCAGAGGAGCAGACGCUUCAACAGUCAGGGGACUAGAGCAAAGAAGAGGCGCCAUGUUUGCUCAGGCUCUGAUGUCAUUGCUGCUCCUGCUGUGGCAGGAGGCGGCGCCCAUCGAAGUGCCACAAGACCCAAAGAUCCUGCCAGACCUCAAACAGCCCCCGACCAUCAUCAAGCAGUCGGUGAAAGACUACAUUGUUGAUCCCCGAGACAACAUCAUCAUCGAGUGUGAGGCCAAGGGCAACCCCCCGCCCACGUUCACCUGGAGGAAAAAUGGCAAGUUUUUCAACUUUGGAAAAGAUCAUAGGGUCAACAUGCGAAGACGCUCCGGAACCCUGGAGAUUGAGUUUCGAAGUGGAGGACGUCCCGAAGACUACGAGGGGGAGUACCAGUGCUUCGCCACCAACGAGCACGGAGUGGCGCUGUCCAACAUCAUCCUGCUGCGGGUCUCCAAGGCGCCGCUGUGGCCCAAGGAGAUGCUGGAGCCGGUGGUGGUGAGUGAAGGAUCCCCGCUGGUCCUGGCCUGCAACCCCCCUCCUGGCCUGCCUCCUCCCUUCACGUUCUGGAUGAACAGCGCCAUGAUCCCCAUCUCUCAGGACAAGCGUGUCUCCAAGGGACUGAACGGAGACUUGUACUUUUCCAACGUGUUGCUGCAGGACGCGCAGACCGACUACAGCUGCAACGCCCGCUUCCUCUUCACACACACCAUCCAGCAGAAGAACCCCUUCACUCUCAAGGUUCUCACCAGCCGUAAAGUGGCUGAGUCCACUCCAACCUUCCUCUAUCCGUCCGGCACGGAGAGCUCGAAAAUGGUGCUACGAGAGGAGCAGCUGUUGCUGGAGUGUAUUGCUGCUGGACUACCCACCCCCACCAUCAAGUGGUUCAAGAAGGGCGGCGAGCUGCCCAGCAGGAAGGUCCGCCUGGAGAACUUCAACAAGACCCUGAAGCUGCUCAGCAUCUCUGAGGAGGACGCCGGCGAGUACAUCUGCAUGGCAAACAAUCACCUGGGCAGCAUCCGCCACUCCAUCUUCGUUCAGGUCAAAGCCGCCCCCUACUGGCUGGACAAGCCCACAAACCUGGUGCUGGCGCCGGAUGAGAACGGCCGCCUGGUGUGUCGGGCCAACGGGAACCCCAAACCCACCAUCGAGUGGCUCAUCAACGGGCAGCCCAUCCAGAACUCCCUGCCCAACCCCAGCCGCCACAUCAUGGGCGACACCAUCCUCUUCCGCUCAGUGCAGAUGGGCAGCAGCGCAGUUUACCAGUGCAAUGCAUCCAACCAGCACGGCUACCUGCUGGCCAAUGCCUUCGUCAGCGUCCUGGACCUGCCCCCGAGGAUGUUGGCUCCCAAGAACCAGCUGAUCAAGGUGGUGCAGGGCAACCAGACCUUCCUGGACUGCCCCUUCUUCGGCUCCCCUCUGCCAGAGUUACGCUGGUUCAAGAACGGCCAGGGCAGCGGCCUGGACGGCGGCCAGUACCGCGUUUACAUCAACGGCACGCUGGAGAUCAAGCGAGCGCGAGCGGAGGACGAGGGCACCUACACGUGCGUGGCCAGCAGCAUCCUGGGCAAGGCCGAAAACCAGGUCCGCCUUGAGGUCAAAGAGCCGACGCGAAUAGUCCGGCCUCCGCAGCACCAGUCGGUCAGCCGAGGCUCCACCGCACACUUUCACUGCGAGGUGAAGUCAGACGCCACUUUGCCCGUCACUGUUGUCUGGACCAAGGACGACAAGCCUCUGCACAUGGGCUGGAGGCUCAGGAGAGAGGAAGAGUCCCUCACCAUCUCGAACGUCAACGACGGCGACCAGGGCACCUACAGCUGCACCGUCCGCUCUGAGAUUGACCAGGACUCUGCCUCGGGUCGCCUCACUGUGCUGGAGGACGCCUCCCUCAACCCCCCCGUCUCUAGUGCCUUGCCGGCAGAGCGCCCAGAUCCUCCCAUGGACCUGGACGUGUCGGAUCCCGCAGCACGCAGCGUUCGGCUCACCUGGAUUCCUGGGGACGAGCACCACAGUCCUGUCACACAGUUUCUGGUCCAGUUUGAGGAGGACCGCUGGGAGCCGGGCCAGUGGCAGAAUCUGUCCACUUACCCCGGCGACCUGAACUCCGUCAUCCUGCAGCUGGCUCCGUUUGUCAACUAUCAGUUCCGGGUCAUCGCCGUCAACGCCGUGGGCCAGAGUGAGCCCAGUUUGCCCUCGCCACGCUACAAGACCAGCGGCGCCGCCCCCGACGCCGUCCCUAAAGGUCUGAGAGGAUGGGGCACCAAGAAAGACAACAUGAUGAUCAGCUGGGAGCCGCUGCAGGAUCUGGAGAGCAACGGUCCAAACCUGCACUACAGCGUUUGGUGGAGACGGAAAGGUUCUGGGCAGGAGUGGAGCAACGUGACCACCGUCUCGUCCAGACAUGUCGUGGAGAACACGGAGACAUUUGUUCCCUAUGAGAUCAAGAUCCAAGCCAGGAACGACUUUGGAUGGGGCCCCGAGUCCAACGUGGUCACUGGCUUCUCUGGAGAGGACAGACCAGCGGAGCCUCCCUCGAAGCUGCGGGUGUCUAAGGUGGACAGCACUAAAGCCAACAUCCAGUGGACGGCCGUGGACAUGAGCUCCGUCCGAGGGGAGUUUAAGGAGUACAAGCUCUACUACUGGCGAGAGUCCAGCCUGGUGCCUGGUCUGGCCGUCACUAAGGAGAACAAGACCAAAGGCUACUACAGCACCAUGGCUGAACCUUCCGCCGUCCUCACUGAGCUGGCCCCCUACUCACGCUACAAGAUGUUCAUGGUGGUGUCCAACAAUGGCUUUGAAGGUCCUGCUAGCAACGCGGUGGAGUUCAACACCAAAGAGGGAGUGCCUGACAUCCCCCAGUCCUUCCGGAUCCGUCGCAAGACUUCCGACAGCCUGCACCUCCAGUGGAGCAAGCCUCUGGAGCCCAAUGGCCUUCUGAUUGGCUACCAGCUCAAAUACCAAGUUGUCAAUGGUUCCAGGGUGGGUCACCCCAAGAUGGAGACCUUCCUCCCCAACAUGACCGAGUUCAGCCUGCGCCUGCCGGAGCCGUCCACGCGCUACAGGUUCUCCCUGUCGGCGCUGACCCAGGAGGGGGCCGGGAAGGCCUUCGCUGGGGAGUCGCCUCCCUUCACCAAUGAAGCGGAAAACCUAACUGAGGCUCCAGUUCUAGUGGAGCUCACUGUCCCCUCUUUGGCUGGUGCAGUGUCUCCAACUGCUCCUCCUCUGGCUCCUCUGCCGUCAUCCUCUCCAGCUCCUGCCUCCACUGCUCCUUCUGUUGCUCCCUUGCCUUCUUCUACUGUCGUUAGCUCAGAAGCCACUCUCCCUCCGACCACCGCUGCCGGUCCCACCAAGCCUCCUGUACCAGUCACCACCAUGCGUAUCGAUCGCAACGUUUUGGUGGCCCCUGGGUGGGAGAUCUGCAACCUGACGGUGGCUGCUAACAGUAACUACGCUAAUGUCAGCUGGAAGCACAACUUCCCGGUCGUCAGCAGCAAGUUUGUGCUUGAAUUCACGCUGGACAGCGACCAGAGUGUGACACUUUUCCCCGUGAAACAGCAGCCGCCAAUCACGGUGCUGGAUCUGAUCGCUGGCGCCAAGUACCACCUGAGAGUUUACGCCCAAGAGUUUGAGAGCAUCAGCAGCAGCACUGUCACCUUUAAGACCAAAGGAGCUUACAUGGACCAGGUGGACAUCGCCACCCAGGGCUGGUUCAUCGGCCUCAUGUGUGCCAUCGCGCUCCUCAUCCUCAUCCUGCUCAUCGUCUGCUUCAUCAAGAGGAGUCGAGGAGGCAAAUAUCCCGUGCGGGAGAAGAAAGACCUCCCUCUGGACCCAGUGGACCAGAAGGACCAGGACGGCUCCUUCGACUACCAGUUCAGCUGAUCUCUGAGGCUCUGUUUCCUUCUCUCUCUCACUAAAAUGUCUUUACUACAUGAGCUCCUUGCUUUUCUGAUGUGAGCAUUGUGAUGGUGGACUGAAUGAAUAUAACCGUGAGUGAAGCAGCGCUUGGCUCUAACAGGUCUCCAAGCCCCUGCAGCUGCACAUAACCCCUGACUCUGGCGGCCGAGUGUGUCUCCCUCCGUCCGUCCGUCCGUCUGUGUGCCUCCCUGCCUGUUCUCCUGUCUCCCGUGUCUCUUCACGUGUCCUCCCUCUCUCUCUCUCUCUCUCUCUCUCUCUCUCUCCGCCACGCUGAAAUGGGUCGUCUGUCCCUGACAGGAAUGAGAACGAGAACAGCAGCGACGAGGACAACAAGCCGCUGCAGGGCAGCCAGACCUCCCUGGAAGGCAACGUGAAGGAGAGCGACGACAGCCUGGUGGACUACGGCGAGGGCGGCGACGGCCAGUUCAACGAGGACGGCUCCUUCAUCGGCCA